rnacentral:rRNA from 1 species
UGGGGAAUUUUGGACAAUGGGCGCAAGCCUGAUCCAGCCAUGCCGCGUGCGGGAAGAAGGCCUUCGGGUUGUAAACCGCUUUUGUCAGGGAAGAAAUCCUUUGAGCUAAUACCUCGGGGGGAUGACGGUACCCUUUUAGCAAGCACCGGCUAACUCUGUGCCAGCAGCCGCGGUAAGACAGAGGGUGCAAACGUUGUUCGGAAUUACUGGGCGUAAAGCGUGCGCAGGCGGUUAUGCAAGACAGAGGUGAAAUCCCCGGGCUCAACCUGGGAACUGCCUUUGUGACUGCAUAGCUAGAGUACGGUAGAGGGGGAUGGAAUUCCGCGUGUAGCAGUGAAAUGCGUAGAUAUGCGGAGGAACACCGAUGGCGAAGGCAAUCCCCUGGACCUGUACUGACGCUCAUGCACGAAAGCGUGGGGAGCAAACA